AGACGUAGGGGGCGAGCGUUGUCCGGAAUCAUUGGGCGUAAAGGGCGCGUAGGCGGUGACGUAAGUCAGGCGUGAAAGGCAUCGGCUCAACCGACGCACAUAGCCUGAUACUACGUUGCUAGAGUGCAGGAGAGGAGAGUGGAAUUCCAGGUGUAGCGGUGAAAUGCGUAGAUAUCUGGAAGAACACCAGUGGCGAAGGCGGCUCUCUGGACUGUAACUGACGCUGAGGCGCGAAAGCUGGGGGAGCAAACAGGAUUAGAUACCCUGGUAGUCCCAGCUGUAAACGAUGAGCACUAGGUGUAGGGGGUAUCGACCCCUCCUGUGCCGCAGUUAACGCAGUAAGUGUUCCGCCUGGGGAGUACGGCCGCAAGGCUGAA
rnacentral:rRNA from 1 species